rnacentral:rRNA from 1 species
UUGGGGAAUAUUGGACAAUGGGCGAAAGCCUGAUCCAGCCAUGCCGCGUGUGUGAAGAAGGUCUUCGGAUUGUAAAGCACUUUAAGUUGGGAGGAAGGGUAGUAACCUAAUACGUUGCUACUUUGACGUUACCGACAGAAUAAGCACCGGCUAACUUCGUGCCAGCAGCCGCGGUAAUACGAAGGGUGCAAGCGUUAAUCGGAAUUACUGGGCGUAAAGCGCGCGUAGGUGGUUCAGUAAGUUGGAAGUGAAAUCCCCGGGCUCAACCUGGGAACUGCUUUCAAAACUGCUGAGCUAGAGUACGGUAGAGGGUGGUGGAAUUUCCUGUGUAGCGGUGAAAUGCGUAGAUAUAGGAAGGAACACCAGUGGCGAAGGCGACCACCUGGACUGAUACUGACACUGAGGUGCGAAAGCGUGGGGAGCAAACAGGAUUAGAUACCCGAGUAGUCC